rnacentral:rRNA from 1 species
UACGUAGGGGCCUAGCGUUGUCCGGAAUUAUUGGGCGUAAAGAGCGUGUAGGCGGCCAGGUAGGUCUGCUGUGAAAACUCGAGGCUUAACCUCGAGAUGUCGGCGGAAACAAUCUGGCUAGAGUCCGGAAGAGGAGAGUGGAAUUCCUGGUGUAGCGGUGAAAUGCGCAGAUAUCGGGAAGAACACCCGUGGCGAAGGCGGCUCUCUGGGACGGUACUGACGCUGAGACGCGAAAGCGUGGGGAGAGAACAGG